rnacentral:rRNA from 1 species
GUAGGUGGCAAGCGUUGCCCCGGAAUUAUUGGGCGUAAAGCGCGCGCAGGCGGUUCUUUAAGUCUGAUGUGAAAGCCCACGGCUCAACCGUGGAGGGUCAUUGGAAACUGGAGAACUUGAGUACAGAAGAGGAAAGCGGAAUUCCACGUGUAGCGGUGAAAUGCGUAGAGAUGUGGAGGAACACCAGUGGCGAAGGCGGCUUUCUGGUCUGUAACUGACGCUGAGGCGCGAAAGCGUGGGGAGCAAACAGGGAUUAGAUACCCUGGUAGUCCACGCCGUAAACGAUGAGUGCUAAGUGUUAGGGGGUUUCCGCCCCCUUAGUGCUGCAGCUAACGCAUUAAGCACUCCGCCUGGGGAUACGGCCGCAAGGCUG